rnacentral:rRNA from 1 species
UACAGAGGGUGCAAGCGUUGUUCGGAAUUAUUGGGCGUAAAGGGCGCGUAGGCGGCCGCGUAUGUCCGGUGUGAAAGCCCACCUCUUAAAGGUGGAAUUGCAUCGGAAACUACGUGGCUGGAGUGUCGGAGAGGAUGGUGGAAUUCCUGGUGUAGAGGUGAAAUUCGUAGAUAUCAGGAGGAACACCGGUGGCGAAGGCGGCCAUCUGGACGACUACUGACGCUGAGGCGCGAAAGCGUGGGGAU